CAGAAAGGAGCAGGAUCUCAGCUCUCGCCUUUUCAGGGUUCCGCCCCAUAUCUGAGAGCCGCUCUCUGAUUGGCUUGGGAAACCGUGUCUCAGCGCUUUGGCCUAGCGACUUUGAUGAAAGUGUUUGCGCCUGAGACCGAAGUGCAGAGGAGGGCGAGCACAGGCGGAGAGGAUUGGAGAAUCAGCGAUUCCUGAUUGGCCAGGCGUGUCUUGAGGGCGGGGCCAGAACUGCGUCCUUAAGUGACCUCGCACUUGCCCCGCUCACCCGCUCCGCAUUAUUCAGGGUUUACACCGCCUGACUCACUGCGCUAUGCGUUCCCUCACACCUGCCGGAUGCCAGGCGGCGGUGUGCCAGGCUCUGAGGGGCCGCGAGCUCACCCCAGACGCCAGCCCCGGGAAUCCUCUGCUCCUCCACUUUCCCUUCCCGCUGCUGCUUUCUUGCCCACCCACUCCCAGGUGCCACUCUUGGGGCAUCCAGAUGUUCUGGCAUUUGACCUGACUCCAGCCUAAGCGCGAGGACGGGAGAAAGGCCAAGGAACCCAAAUCCUCAGAACUGACCGAAAAGCGCGUGUUGUUGAAGUCGCUGAGGGGCAGACGCGGAAUGUGAGCCGUGGGGCGAAGGGACAGCUCCGGAGGCUCGAGAUUCCGGAACCCGGGUGAUCCAGAACAGACGAUGAAGAGACAGACUAGCGUGAAAGGGAGCAGCGAUCCCUACACUGACCUCCGGAGGGCAGCAUGAUCAAGGGAAGGAGCUGUUCACGCUCCGCUCAAACCCCCGCGCAGCCUCUGCGGCUUACUCCUGCUUCCCAAGGCGGCGAGGUUCCACCCCCACCACCGCCGGCCCCCGCCGCCCUCUUCGGGCUGAAGCUGCGGAGGGUCUUUUUCUUCAGCCCAAAAUCCUCUGCUCUGUGGUUUAAGAUUCCCAGGCUUAAACUCGUAACUGCUAGGGUCAUCACUUCCCAAACUUCUCCCACACUUGUUUUGCUGAUGACGGACACAGGGGCCUCACAGACUCAGAAGCAUCUGGAAUCAUUCCGACGGACAGAACUGUGUCAUUAUCCUCUUUCCCCCUGCUAAUCUCUGAGAACAGUGUCUGUAUAUGGCACAGGGGUCCCUAGUGUCAUAUAGAAGGACUUGGAGAUGUCCUCAUGGGCUGUAACGGCCCCCAGUGCUAUUCAGGGAUCUCUGUCCUUUAAAGAAAUAUCAUUUCCCUUUAUUUCUCUACCUUUGUGCCCUCACUUCGCCCUGAAUUGUUUCCUUAAACUGGGCUUUCUAGGAAA